CCUGUUACCCCAACAUCAGGAUGGGUUCUUCGCCAAAACUAGACAGCCAGAACUGAAGUAGAAAAAAGUGCCAAAUAUGAAAAAAUAAGAUUAGGUAUGACCAAACUUUACAUUUGGGAGAUUGAAGUAACAAUUUAGAAUAUUUAAAAGCAAUUAUUUAACAUAAAAAUCCAAUUACAAACAUUUCAACACUUGUUUCAUAGAUGAAG
rnacentral:lncRNA from 1 species